GCUGUAAUGUGUGCAGCUUUCAUCUGUGUCUGAUAGCAGUGUCUGUCUAUGCUUUGCAUUCAGAUCUUGCUAUCCCCAUAAACAUGCAGCCGAAGAGUAAGCUGGAAUCAUAAGGCAGUGUUAUUUUAUUUGAAGUAAGUUGAUUACCUAUGUGCUUUCAUGAAUAA
ensembl:snoRNA